CCUAGUCCCUGAGACCCUAACUUGUGAGGAAUUUUAGUAACAUCACAAGUCAGGCUCUUGGGACCUAGGC
rnacentral:pre_miRNA from 1 species